rnacentral:rRNA from 1 species
AGAGUUUGAUCCUGGCUCAGGAUGAACGCUAGCGGCAGGCUUAACACAUGCAAGUCGAGGGGCAGCAUUCGGGUAGCAAUACCUGAGAUGGCGACCGGCGCACGGGUGCGUAACGCGUAUGCAACCUACCCAUAACAGGGGCAUAACACUGAGAAAUUGGUACUAAUUCCCCAUAACAUUCGAAGAGGCAUCUUUCGGGUUGAAAACUCCGGUGGUUAUGGACGGGCAUGCGUUGUAUUAGCUGGUUGGUGAGGUAACGGCUCACCAAGGCGACGAUACAUAGGGGGACUGAGAGGUUAACCCCCCACAUUGGUACUGAGACACGGACCAAACUCCUACGGGAGGCAGCA